ACUUUAUAGGCCACAAAAUCUGGUGUUGGGCCCCAGCCUGAGAGAGAUUUGCAGUCCUUACAGACUCUCUACAAGAAGCCUAGGGGCAUAAAGCAGAACCCAGGGAAAAGAGUCAUCUUUACACAGAAAAGACAGCCCAGUCUUAAGGAAGUGCUGUGAUGGGGUUGGUCUGCUACUAACCCUGCACCGGACAAAAAGAGUUAAGGAGUUGCUGCAGUCCUGAGCAGCCCCGCUUGAUCACACCUGCAAGGCAUAGCAGGACUGGAGGAAGAAUUCAAAUGAGAAGCAGCUCAGUUUGAUAAGAAGCAGCUGUGUAUUUCCUAGGGGAGGAGAGCUGUCUGAGGGUAGGACUUGCUUGUAGUGCUGGGGAGUGUCUGAACUGUCUGAGGUGAAGGUGUUCCUGCAACGUGACCUCAGGCCACUUGCUGGAGCACUCUAAAACUGGGCUCUUCUGGGAUGUUCUCUGCAAGCAACUUGAAAGUGUCAAAGUUACUGCAAGGAAGUAGAGGCUGGUGGAAGCUGUUGUCCUGAGAUCAGAGGUGUGCACUUUGCUACUUGUGCAGGGAGCCCAGGCACCCAAUGUGGGGUUUUGGACUGAUGUCUGAGGGCCUACAAAUUGGGAGCUGCAAGCUUUAACAUGUGGGCAGGGCUCCGGAUGUCAGACGAGGAACACCGACAAGAGAAGCCCGUGAGGUUUGUAAGCUGUGCCUAUACACAGCUGGGGCCGGCAGGUGACGUCGCAGACUAUCACUGGCCGGCCAGGAUAAAAGCCGAUGCCAGCUGAGAGCAGGGGAGAGCGGGAGAGGCAGCGGAGGUUGCGGAUGCUCUCCAUGUUGGCAGCAGUCAGCGCCGGCAAGGGCAGGGAAGCCCCGAUCGGGCAGGGAUUCCCAGGUAGUAGCGGCUGCAGGAAAACUCCACACUAGUCACAGGCAACACUGGUGUGAGGAAGAGACCCUGCUCUAGGAAGAGCAGGGAGAAGAACUGGAGAUGAUUGAUACUCUCCACACCAGGCACUAACAGACUGGGUUGUGGGAGAAGGACCAACUUAGAGAAAGAAGUAUAAGAAGCUCUCAGCAGGGAUAGAGAGCGGAGCAGCCUCGUGGGACACAGACAGGCGCAUGCUCUAGGA